UACAGAGGGGGCAAGCGUUGUUCGGAAUUACUGGGCGUAAAGGGCGCGUAGGCGGCCUGUUAAGUCGGAUGUGAAAUCCCCGGGCUCAACCUGGGAACUGCAUUCGAAACUGCCUGGCUAGAGUUUGAGAGAGGGAAGUGGAAUUCCACAUGUAGCGGUGAAAUGCGUAGAUAUGUGGAGGAACAUCAGUGGCGAAGGCGGCUUCCUGGCUUAAAACUGACACUGUGGCGCGAAAGCGUGGGUAGCAAACAGG
rnacentral:rRNA from 1 species